ACGGGGCCCGCACAAGCGGAGGAGCAUGUGGUUUAAUUCGAUGAUACGCGAGGAACCUUACCUGGGCUCGAACGUAAGAUGACUGUAGGUGAAAGCUUACAUCUCUUCGGAGCAUUUUACGAGGUGCUGCAUGGUUGUCGUCAGCUCGUGCCGUGAGGUGUCGGGUUAAGUCCCAUAACGAGCGCAACCCUACCUUUAGUUGCCAUCAGGUUAAGCUGGGGACUCUAAAGGAACUGCCUACGCAAGUAGUGAGGAAGGCGGGGAUGACGUCAAAUCAGCACGGCCCUUACGUCCAGGGCUACACACGUGCUACAAUGGCCGAUACAGAGGGCAGCUACCUGGUGACAGGAUGCAAAUCUCCAAAGUCGGUCUCAGUUCGGAUCGGAGUCUGCAACCCGACUCCGUGAAGCUGGAAUCGCUAGUAAUCGCGCAUCAGCCAUGGCGCGGUGAAUACGUUCCCGGGCCUU
rnacentral:rRNA from 1 species